AUCUCUUCUCAGCCUUUGGCUAAGAUCAAGUGUAGUAUCUGUUCUUACCAGUUGAAUAUCUGGUACGUCCUCUAUCCAAGGACAAUAUAUUAAAUGGAUUUUUGGAGCAGGGAGUUGAAAUAGGAGUUCCGUCCACUCCACGCAUCGACCUGGUAUUGUAGUACUUCCAGGAACAGUGCACCAGAA
rnacentral:snRNA from 1 species